CUGGAGGUAUCAGAAGUGCGAAUGCUGACAUAAGUAACGAUAAAGCGGGUGAAAAGCCCGCUCGCCGGAAGACCAAGGGUUCCUGUCCAACGUUAAUCGGGGCAGGGUGAGUCGACCCCUAAGGCGAGGCCGAAAGGCGUAGUCGAUGGGAAACAGGUUAAUAUUCCUGUACUUGGUGUUACUGCGAAGGGGGGACGGAGAAGGCUAUGUUGGCCGGGCGACGGUUGUCCCGGUUUAAGCGUGUAGGCUGGUUUUCCAGGCAAAUCCGGAAAAUCAAGGCUGAGGCGUGAUGACGAGGCACUACGGUGCUGAAGCAACAAAUGCCCUGCUUCCAGGAAAAGCCUCUAAGCAUCAGGUAACAUCAAAUCGUACCCCAAACCGACACAGGUGGUCAGGUAGAGAAUACCAAGGCGCUUGAGAGAACUCGGGUGAAGGAACUAGGCAAAAUGGUGCCGUAACUUCGGGAGAAGGCACGCUGAUAUGUAGGUGAAGUCCCUCGCGGAUGGAGCUGAAAUCAGUCGAAGAUACCAGCUGGCUGCAACUGUUUAUUAAAAACACAGCACUGUGCAAACACGAAAGUGGACGU
rnacentral:rRNA from 1 species